GUCCACGCCCUAAACGAUGUCUACUAGUUGUCGGGUCUUAAUUGACUUGGUAACGCAGCUAACGCGUGAAGUAGACCGCCUGGGGAGUACGGUCGCAAGAUUAAACUCAAAGGAAUUGACGGGACCCGCACAAGCGGUGGAUGAUGUGGAUUAAUUCGAUGCAACGCGAAAACCUUACCUACCCUUGACAUGUACGGAAGCUUUGAGAGAUCAGAGUGUGCUCGAAAGAGAGCCGUAACACAGGUGCUGCAUGGCUGUCGU
rnacentral:rRNA from 1 species